rnacentral:rRNA from 1 species
GACGAACGCUGGCGGCGUGCUUAACACAUGCAAGUCGAACGAUGAAGCCCAGCUUGCUGGGUGGAAGAGUGGCGAACGGGUGAGUAACACGUGAGUAACCUGCCCUGAACUCUGGGAUAAGCACUGGAAACGGUGUCUAAUACUGGAUACGACCUAUCACCGCAUGGUGUGUGGGUGGAAAGAUUUAUCGGUUCUGGAUGGACUCGCGGCCUAUCAGCUAGAUGGUGAGGUCAUGGCUCACCAUGGCGACGACGGGUAGCCGGCCUGAGAGGGUGACCGGCCACACUGGGACUGAGACACGGCCCAGACUCCUACGGGAGGCAGCAGUGGGGAAUAUUGCACAAUGGGCGCAAGCCUGAUGCAGCAACGCCGCGUGAGGGAUGACGGCCUUCGGGUUGUAAACCUCUUUUAGUAGGGAAGAAGCGAAAGUGACGGUACCUGCAGAAAAAGCACCGGCUAACUACGUG